rnacentral:rRNA from 1 species
AUCAACGCUGGCGGCGUGCCUCAGACAUGCAAGUCGAACGCGAAAGUCCCCUUCGGGGGGAUAAGUAGAGUGGCGCACGGGUGAGUAACACGUAGGUAAUCUACCUUCGGAUGGGGAAUAACAACCGGAAACGGUUGCUAAUACCGCAUAAUGCAGCGGCACCUAAUGGUGACAGUUGUUAAAGCGGGGGAUCGAAAGACCUCGCGUCUAAAGAGGAGCCUGCGGCGGAUUAGCUAGUUGGAGGGUAACGGCCUACCAAGGCGACGAUCCGUAGCCGGCCUGAGAGGGCGGUCGGGCCACACUGACACUGACAUACGGGUCAGACUCCUACGGGAGGCAGCAGUCGGGAAUUUUGGGCAAUGGGCGAAAGCCUGACCCAGCAACGCCGCGUGAAGGAUG